rnacentral:piRNA from 1 species
UCCAUCAGGCACUUCAGCACCUUGUCCAAA